ACCUGGGUGGCUCAGUUGCUUAAGCGUCUGACUUUGGCUCAGGUCAUGAUCUCGUGGUUCAUGGGUUCGAGCCCCACCUCGGGCU
rnacentral:tRNA from 1 species